GAGCUGCACUGGUGCUCUUUCUCCAGCAGCACACACUGGGAUGUGGCUGUGGAUGUGUGUUGCUGUAACAACAGGACUGAGAGCUCUGGAGGUGUGUACUGUCCCCAGGCAGCAGAGGGUUUUACAAAGAGGAGGAAAAUUAUUUGGAGCUCCACCCUGCCUUAAUGAAGACAUGUAACCCGUGAGUUGGCUCCUGCUCUGUGUGUGCAAGGAGAGAGCUGUGCCUUGGAGAGAGGUUUGAUGCUUUGGAGAGGUUUGUAAGCUCCUUGCAUGCAGAAUAUUGGUAGGAUGAGGGACGUGGGAGGACUUUGUCAGGGGGAUAUGGGGCUUGGAUCUGCCUGUCAGAUCCCUAUAAGUGUUGACAUUUGAGAUCCCAGAGCAAAGACAAAGUCAGCCCUUCUUCUCCCCAGAAAGAAGCCACUGUAACUGAGUUGCUAUGUUGAUUUAUUGGAGAUGUGAGACUAUAACUAGGAUAAAAGCCAUUGAUGAGUAUUGCCGACGAAAUGUGCAGUCAUUGGAAAUAUAUCGCUGCGUCCUCUCCCCUUCCCAAACCUCAAAUAGGAUAAAUGCACUUACACUAGCAGCUCAGUUUACUACGUACUAGGGAACUGGAAAGGAGACUAAUGCCGAUGCCAUGUGUUUAAGGCUGGGUCUGGAUCCCUUGAACACGACAGCAGAGGAUUUUUGUGAGCUGGAGCCAGGCUUAUUGAUGGAUCAGCCUCUGUCACAUGUGACGAUGGGCUCAGGCCCCAAGUCCUUUCAUUUAAGAUGGUAUUUAUGGCAUCAGAUGAGCCAGGCCGUUACAAACACGGAAGAAAAAGGAAAAGUUGAGGAUCGGUUUCCAAACAGGUAAUGCAAAUAGAAAGCAAACUGCCUCCAAACAGCAACAGCCAUUGAAAUCCCCCCCCUUGGGAUGUGAAAUGGGUAUGUGUAGGGAAACUAGGCAAUUUUGAGUGAGUUCUGCUGAUGCAAGGGGUGUAUCUGUAAAUCAGGACAGCUGAUAUAACUAGGUUAUAGUAAUAGGUUAUAUACGGGAGCUGCUAACGCAAGUGGGCUGAAUGAAGCCCUAAUUAAAUGCUCACGAGUGGCAGCUGUUCUGCCCUACACCUCGCUCUGAUCCUUCAAUCUGUAGAGGCAGAAAGAGCAGGGAACUACACCAAGGGCAUCUUGUGAGAACUGUAUAACGGCAGCACUAAGGGGAUUGGGGGUUUGCUCCUAGAAUUCCCUAGCAGAAACAGCAAAACUCUUGGUUGAUUACAAGCCCAAAUUAGUAGCCUCGCUGGACUCCUCAGCUCCAGGGCCCUCAAAGACUUUCCAGGGAUGGUGCAUAAGAGGAUGGAGCAAAUCUGAUGAUUCCGGGGUGUCCUUCAUCCUCCUGUGCCAGGUCACCUUGCUCCAGUUUGGGCUCUGGCUGCAUUUCACUGCUUUUUCAUCACUCUGAAAAGAAGAACCACAUAAUGUGCUGGUGUCAGCAGGGAGAAAUGGAGAAAAAACCAAGAUAAAGGCACACAACAGACACUGUGGGGGAGGCUGAUGAUCUGGGCACAAGAGGAACGUUGCUGGGCAGAGCAGAGAAGAGAAGAGUUUGACCAGUUGGGGUACACAAAUGUCCCAAAGGGCCACGUUGAGCUACAACCGACUCAAGUGAGCAUGGAAGAGAGAAGCAGAACCAAUCGUCUGAUUACGUCUUGAUACAUGCAAGCAGAAGAAUCUGAAUUAAACUCUUGGCAGCAUCCUGGGUAUCUAAACAGAGAUUCAGAUGGGCUUUGCAUUACCCUUUAGCCAAAGCUGCUCCCUUUUCGAACCUAAUUCUAUAACUUACAUGAAUGAAAGAAAAAUAAAAACAAAGGCAAAGGUUGAAUGGAUGGAGCAACAGUGGAGUGAAUGUACUGAUGCUGCCAGAAGAGUCCUCCAUAGGAUUACUGACAGGAGAGCUGGGCUUGGCCAUCACUCCCUGCUGAAUUUGCUUGGCAAAUCCCCACGGAUGUAAUUUUGGAUUACAUGUGCAUACGAGCAAAGGAGGUGGGCUCAAAGCGACGAGGACAAAAGAAAGCAUGCAAGUCAUUCCUAUGAGAUGAAAUAAGGGUUUUUCUGUUCCAUCUCUCCCGAAAUAUUGAAGGGCUGUGUGCCAUGGGUGGGUACUCUCUUAAUGCUUUUGCCUCCAGUGGGAUAACAGUGAAUAAGCCCUGAACAUCUCAGCUUUGUCUGAAGGUGCAUUUGCCUUUAUGUGAUUUUCUUGGCAUUCACUAUGGCCUGAGAACAUGAAGGGGAUCAGAGAGGAGUUCCUGCUUGCAAGCCUGAAAGCUGGAGUGCCUUAUUUAGAGUGAAGCUGUGUGGGAGGUGUAUGUGCUGAGCACUUUUCUGGGUGUCAGCCUAAGAGGAGUCAAGGGAGCUCAGCAUCUUUCAUCACUGGGCCCCAGAUUCUGGAGAACCGCUGCUCUAUGUGAUAGUUGACAUCUGCUGUGCAAUGGAAGAAGGGAUACUGGCUUCUUCUCAUGCUUUUUCUCUCUGAGAUUUGUAAUGACAGAGCUGAGCAACGCUUGGUACCACCAGCUUGUCUGAGCCAGCACAGCUUCCAGCUGCAUCCCAGCAGCAACCACAUCCUCACCCAACUCAUGGCAGUCAGCUGCUCCAGGGAGGGGAUGGAGGUUAACCCCUCCUGUUUUCCAGAUGGGGCACCGGGGGUGAGCAGCAGGGGAGCUGCACUUUGCAGGUGCUGCAGCUGGAUGGAGGCUCAGCUCUGGCUGUGUGCGCGUGCAGUGAUGCUAACACAUAGCACGAGCUGCAGGGUGGAGCAACCCUUGCAGAACUUCAACUUGUGUGCGUGGGCUCCACGUUUCCCAACUCCAAAACACCGUUUAGGAGUGCUCCUGCAAUGGCAUCUGCAGCCAACUGCCUGGAGCCCUUUUGGUCCCACAAAUGUGUUGUUGGGUGACAAUUCAUCUGAUCCCAAAUAUCUGCCUCUGUCCUUCAAUUGGCUCUCACGGAGGUGGUUAUGGCCAGAUGAAACCAGCCCCACCUCCUGGUCCUGCUCUGUGUGGGCUGGGAAGCCUGCAGUGCUGUGUGGUGCUGCCCUGUGUUCCUUCUGUCCCAUACCCUGAGCAUUCCCUCUCCUCUCUGGGGCUGAACCAAGGUGCAGCAGGGCUCAGAGAAACAGUGGGUGCCUAUGGCAAUGUAGAAAGCCUUCCACGCUUCUAAAUUGUGCUUUCCGUUAAAUUUCAUUAUGACAGAUAAAAUGCACACUGUUCACGGUAAGUUUGAUUGCAGUUUAUUGGAGAAAUGGCAUAAAACUGAAACAGUUCAACAGGAGCGGAAGAUGUGAGGAGAGGGGCUGGGUACAUUUGAGUGUCCUUCAACCCUCUUUUUUGCCUCCCUCCCUCUUCCGUACAAAGGUGGGGGGGGCUAAGAACUAAGGCAUUGAACCAGGGAUGGAUUCCUUGUGUUUUUAACCCUGUUGGUGUUACUGCCUCCAGUUUGGCUGGUGGGGGGGCUUACAGCUGGGAUUCAUCCUUAUUCAGCUCCCUGGAAACUGGGGAUUUGGGGUUUCCUGCUGUAGCUAAUGGAGGAAGAGAUGUAUCCUGUCCUAAAAUAUCCUCAUCCAUCCUGUUGGCGAAGGUGGCAGAGGUGGCAGACGGUGAUCUCCUUCCCCAGAAAGGCAGAGCAGAGGGUGCUGUGCUCUUCUUUUCAGUUGCUCCUCACUCUCCUCUCUUGUUUUUCUGGUUCCACACUGCCGAUUUAAGCUCCUUCCUUACUCAAAUCCAUUACGCAGUGCGUCCCCUGGGGAUACGGUAGCAGACACUGAGGCUUGACAGAAGUUUUUCCAAAGUUCAUACAGUGGAUGAGAAGGAGCAGCUCCUCCUAAAGAGUUGAUGAGCUGAGCUGAAACCUUCAGAGACUUUCUAUGGGGUAGAAAUUACCUCCUGGCUUCCAGCAGCACUGGAACCCAACCAUGAGGAGCAAGUUGUGCUGUUAUUUUAGAGAGAGGAAGGAGCACUUAAGCACACACUUAAAAUUAAUCGUCGUUUUUUCGGCAGAUUUUCUCUCCUGGAGAGGAACCCACAUCGGUAAGAAGUGGUCAGAGCGCUCCUAGUUUAAAAAAGAAGUAGAAAUAAAAGAAAUUUAAAAAUAAAGGCAGAUGCCAUGCAGGGUGUAGGGUACCACUAUUUAUACAGCAGCUGAAGAGAGCCUGGUCGGGUUAGUUGUUGCUGAGGUCUCACAGUUCUUGGUUGCACUGGGUCUUAAACUCUUCCAGAAAGAGGACAGAAUGGAGAAAAACUGGAUGGGGUUCCUUCCUUCUGUUGUGUGUUGUUGCUUACGUGAUCUUGAUGUGUUUGACAGCAUUGUGCAUGGUCUGCACCAUCCCAUGUGGCCUUCAGCAUCAGUGAGUGAGCACUGGCUCAUUGACUGGGAGAUUUGGAGAGGAGGAGCAGUAUUUAGUCACAAGGAAGCCUGGAGAAAUAGCGUGCUCCUUAUCCAGCCCUACUUACUAAGCUCCAAAACUCUGUGUAUCAAGGAUUUAGAAGUGAAUGUCUAAAAUGGAGAGCAAUCCUGAUCCCACUCUACAGAUAAUGACAACUAUGCCAGGCUGGAUGGGCGAAGUGAGCCUCACCUUGCUAAUGAAGGAGGUGAACCUGUUAGUGAGGUCUUUGAUCUGAUCCUCCUUCUCCUAAUGUUCUCACUGCACUGGGGCUGAUAUCCAAGUUAAUAUUGACCAGGAGGUUUGGGUUGACCAUGAUCCCUUGAAUACCUCUGGGGCAACAUCCUCCUCCAAACCUAAACCCAAACCCUCCAUCACUCACCCUAUGGCUGCACCCUGACCUGGCAGAGUAGUGCCCUCUGCUUCUGGAAAUACUCUUGCUUCCCCCUGGGUUGGGAAGGCUCCUGCUGUCAAACCCUCUGCAGAUCCAUCCCACACUUCUCCCACUGCUGUGGGACAUGCAGAUGGAGCUGAAAGUGCUUUGGGCAAUGGGCACAGUGGUGGAAACAGCACCAAACCCAUCAGUGAUCCUAACCCAUGGCUGGCUGACUUCAGUGUGGCUGCAGAGGGAUGAGAUGGCAGAUGGACAGGAAUCUCUAAGUUUGUCCCUGGGGUGACCCCUGCCUUAAAUCCUUCUGCAUUCUGGGCUUGUGCAGAGGACUGGGUGGUGGAAUCAUAGAAUCAUUAAGGCUGGAAAAGACCUCUAAGACCAUCAAGUCCAGCCAUCAACGCAUCAUCACCAUGCCCACUAACCCAUGUAGCUCACUGCCACACGAAGCACAUCAGCUUACAGUGGUGCACCUGGCCACACUUCCAGCCCGUUAAUCACCCAACUCUCUGGUGCACCAGGUUGGCAACCUGCAGGCUCAUAAAACUAACCAAACUUUCCAGCCUGUAUUUUUCAGGGUGCUGAGGACUGCUGGGAAAAUAUAUAUCUCUACAUCUGAUUGUUCCCUUUGGGCUUGCUUUUAGCUUGGUGUCAGUGCUGGUUCAGUUUAAAGCAGAUGGAACUGAAGCUGCCACAAGGGCAGUGGUGGAGAUGCUGAAAAUGCCAAUUUGAUGUCUUUGAUAAGGGAAACCUGGCUUUGCUCACGGGAUUGACAUGUGGUCAAGGCAAGGGGCAACUGGAGGUCUUGGUGUGCUCCUCUGCUUUGCAAGCUUGACUUCUUGUGAUGAAGAGAAUAGUUGGGAGGCACUUCUGCUCUUCUGCAGGGGAGGCCUGGGUGCUUUUCUUGGCCAUAGUGCUGGAUGCUGAGAUAUCUACAGAGAGAAAGCAUGCUGGCAGUAGAAGUGAAGCUGUCAGGUGCCUGUUUGCUGCUGGAUAGCAUUUGCAUGGGCUCCAGCAAGCCAAAUUCUGUUCUGUGAGUGUCAGUGGAAAUCAGGUCCAGAGAUACCGAAGGUGGAAGGGCAGGCGUUAGAGGAUGGGCCGUUUCCUUGUGGUAGUGCAUUGUUGUGCUCAGGUCUGGAGGAUUAAUGAGGAGUUUGUUGUUUUUUAUCACUUUCUCUUGGCCAAGCGUCGGUCAGUGAGUCAUGUUUGCCUCCAGCACUUUGCUCACCCAGCAGAGCUGAGUCACACUGGACGUGGCUCUUCCCAAAGCAGAUGAGUUCAGGGCUUUAAUGGGUCUUUGCAGUUUCUAAUUAUGGUGAUAUCAAUGAUGGCAUUUUAUUAACCCCUGCAGCUAUUGCAUGCACAGAACACGUAAGCUGAACUUCUUGGGGAAAACUGAUUUAUGUCCCUGCAUGAGUCACCACAUAAAACCUUGAAAAAUUACAGGGGCUUGAGACGCCACGACAGAAAUUAGGA